CUCCCGUAAGCUGUGACAUCAACCAAGGAAAAUUUUCAGUGUGUGAGUUGGCUUGGCUGUGUGGGAGGCUGGGAUCCCUGCUUUGAUUAGAACCAAAGAAGAUACUGGCUUUGCUAACGCUACCAAAGGCCUGGAAGCUGAUACUGAAUAUCAGAAAAAUUAUAUACCUUGCAGACUACCGAAUGAUAGAGGAAAGUUACUCAAGCGAGCAUAGAAGAGUCAGCCAGGGAGCGGGAACACUCCGGUGAUGAGAACGCAAAGAAUUCAGGCAAAACUGAAGCAGCCGCCAGCAAUGCCACUACUGCUGCUCCUCCCGCCUCCAGUAGCCUGGAGUUGCCCCCCAACGUCAGGAGUACACUCUAGAGUCUAGAUUCUCUCAUCAGAGAACAAACUGCUACGGGAGAGGCUGUUCCAACUGGGGGUGUCGCUCGACUCCUCUCCGCUCUCAGACCCACAGAAGGAACUGCUCUUCAGUAAAGUCUGCUCUGUCUCUCAGAAUGGAGGUGAAGGUUCAUCCUUGUGUGGUGACCGGGGAGAAUGGGACAACAAAUCCACCUCCAGCGUGUCGAUGUCGGUGGCUUGCCUGCAAGACCGCAUUCAACAGAUGAAAGAAACUCACUGCUGCUAACAUCACUCGGAUCUAUUAUUCCAGUUCCUUUAUGUUCCUCUGUGAUUAAUAUUGUGGUUAAUGGAGAUGAAAAUUGUAUGUGUUAGGGAAUAGUUUGAUUUAUUACUAACUUGUGUCGUUUUUAUUCAGUUGGAGGACAUUUUGAUUAGCUGUGAUUUUUACUCUCGACAGCACAAAUGAGGAGCUUCAGGCUACUUUACAAGAGCUGGAUGACAUCUGAAAGCAGCUGUCUGGGUGUCACCUGGAAGUGCAGCAACUACAAGAAGAGAAGCAGGUUUUACUAGAAUCUCUGACACAACAAACA
rnacentral:lncRNA from 1 species